UUACACAAACAAUGGUAAUGAAAUCUAAAAAUAUAUAUUUCUUUUAACACCACAGGUGGUUGGUAAAACAAGAUGGAGGAAACCUACCAGUGGGCCAAAGAAACAUCGUGAUUCAAGCAAUGGUCACAAUGAAGGCGUGUUUAACGGUAACCCUUUCACAGCUAUAACCUAAACAAGCUUUUCCCCACACUAUUUUGGCUUGACAAAGCUGUAAGUAGGUCUUCAGGCCUCGUAGAUAGAGUCUUCCUCUACUCAAAUAUUCUUUAGCUUGUUUUUAGACUGUUGAAAGGUUAUAAACCUUGUGAAUUUAUGUUUCUGUUCUUCAGGAAGAGGAUUUUAUCCAAACUUCCUCUACAAAGUGCAAAGAGCUGGAUUCCUACACAUGUCAACAUAUUUGAAGAAUCAUUGGACUUCUUGGGGGGAGUUGUGGUCCAAUUUUGGCAGAUCAUUCAAUCAUGAAAACAGUGAAACCAACAACAAGGCAGAAAGAUUCUUCCACACAAUGAAAUAUCAGUUCCUGAAGGGGGACACUAACAGGCGAAUUGACCAGCUCCUUAGCCUGCUGUAUGGUGAUGUCCACAAAUAUUACUGGUAAAUGUUAAUUGUAAUAUCCACUUAUCUUCCAAAUCUAUUAACAUUUU
rnacentral:lncRNA from 1 species